rnacentral:misc_RNA from 1 species
CCGAAGUUACCUUCAAAACCCACUGUGAACCUUACCUCUUGCCGCGUUGUCUCGGCGGGGACGGGAGCGCCAAACUCUAAAUGCACAGCGGACUGUACGUUCUGAUUUACAAAAAAAACAAGUUA